ACGCCGUAAACGAUGGAUGCUCGGUGUUGCCCCGCUCUAUGGGGCAGUGCCUAAGCUAACGCGUUAAGCAUCCCACCUGGGGAGUACGCUCGCAAGAGUGAAACUCAAAGGAAUUGUCGGGGGCCCGCACAAGCGGUGGAGCAUGUGGCUUAAUUCGAUGCAACGCGAAGAACCUUACCUGGGCUUAAAUGCAUUCUGACAGGCUGGGAAACCAGCCCUCCUUCGGGCAGAAUGCAAGGUGCUGCAUGGCCGUCGUCAGCUCGUGCUGUGAGGUGUCGGGUUAAGUCCCAUAACGAGCGCAACCCCUAUCUUUAGUUGCCAGCGGAUAAUGCCGGGGACUCUAAAGAAACUGCCCGCGCAAGCGGAGAGGAAGGUGGGGAUGACGUAGCUAAGCCUU
rnacentral:misc_RNA from 1 species